rnacentral:lncRNA from 1 species
AGGGGAUACAUAAUACACUACUCACACAUUCACCUUCUUCAACACUCAGACAGCCGCUCCAGCCAACAGCAUACUGCAUUUCUUCUUUUCCCUUGUCACUCUGCUUCCAUUUAGACACUAAAAAGACUGCCUUCUGUUCAUUAGCUAUUACCAUCAGGUCAUUUGUCGGUGACAAGGACAACACACAGUCCUGAAGCCAGUAAUUUCUCUGGUUCUUGGAAGCAGAUUCUUCUUCUUCAGGUUCUGGUAAUUCUGCUUCAUCCCAGGCUCCCCAGCCACCAUCUUCC